AUCCCCGUUUCUUUUUUCCUUUUCCAGAUGCUUUGCGGUUUCGAGUCUGGAUACCAUCCUUCCGCAUGGUCAGUGGUCGGUUCACCUGCCAAGAGGGAGGCCAUGGGUGUUUCCUAACUCCACAUCUUGCCUCUAUGUCUCCUCCAGGGAUGCCCUCUCCACUCCACUUCUUAAGAAGAGGGAACUGGUUCAAGGACUGGGGAGUGCGCCCCUGGUGUGGCACAGGUCCUUGUGGUGUGUGUAUAGUUGUCCCAUCUUCUACAUUGGGAGUAGAUGCAGAGAAACGAAGAUGUUCGUCCAAGGCCCUGGGUUCUUGUCUCAGCUCUGACUGAUUUGCUGCAUGAUUCCUGGGCAGGCCACCCUCUGAGCCUCAGCUUGUUUGCCUGAAAAAUGGGUAUAAUCAUAGAAUCCACCUCAAACGUUCUUCAGAGGCCACUCAGCACAGGGCCUGCCUGCAUGCCAUAAAUGAAGCCUUCCCUGACUGGUUCCCUCCCUCCGGGCCUCUUCUGGAGCUCCAGAGCUUGGUCCAAGCCCAUGGCAUUUGGUCUAUUCUUGUCUCUUCCUGUCUCUUCCAGAAUGUGGAGUUCACCAGGGCUGGGAUGGAGCCUGGCUCCCCUCGGUGUCAAUAGCACCCGGAAAAGCUUCAACCAAAGUCUGCUAAGGAGUCAAACAUUUGCCUUAGGACCAAACUAUUUUGGUUUUUAGGAGAAAGUAUAAAGGAUACUAUAACAAGCAUUCACCUUUGGCAAACAUUAAUAUUUUUCCCUAUUUACUUCAGAUCCUUUUUAAAAGAAAUAUGGUAUUACAGAUACGGCUGAAGUCCUUGAACCAAUUUCCUUUCAUUUCCCUCUCUCCUUCCACUACCUUGAGUUUGGUGUUUAUCUUCCUUGUAUUUUUAUUCCAUUACUACAUAUGUACAUACCCAUAAACAACAAAUGAUACUUGGGGGUUUGGGCCUGUUUUUGAACUUUGUGUAAAUGGAAUCAUACAGUAUGUGCUUCUUUUGCUCAGCAUAAUAUCUGACAUUCAUCCACGUUGUUGUGUAGCUCAUUCCUUUUUUAUUGAAAUAUAAUUCACAUACCACAAAAUUCACCCUUUUAAAGUGUACAUUUUGGUGGUUAGUACCUUCACAAGGUUGUAGAACUGUCACUACUUUCUAAUUCCAGAACAUUGUCAUCACCCCAUAAAGAAGCCCUUUGCCCAUUUAGCAGCCGUUCCCCUUUCUAUUUCCCCCUCCCCACAGCCCCUGGCAACCACUAAUCUACUUUAUGUCUCUAUGGAUGUGCCUGUUCUGGGCAUUUCAUAUAAAUGGAAUUAUACAACAUGUGGGCUUUUGUGACUGGCUUCUUUUACUUUACAUAAAGUUUUCAAGGUUCAUUCAUGCUGUAGUGUGGAUCAGUACUUCAUUCCUUUUUAGGGCUGAAUAACUUUCCAUUAUAUGAAAACGCUACAUUGUGCUAUCCAUUCAUCCAAUUAAUGAACAGUUUUGGCUAUCAUGAAUGAUAUGAUAUGAACAUUCAUGUAAAAAUUUUUUACAUAGACAUAUGUUUUCAGUUCUCUUGGGUGUGUAUCUAGAAAUGGAAUUUCAGGGUCCUGUGGUAAUCCUCUGUUUAGCUUUUUGAGGAAAUGCAAAAGUGUUCUCCAUAGCGGCUGUAUGAAGGUUCCAAUUAUACACAUCCUCUCCAACA